rnacentral:rRNA from 1 species
AUUGAACGCUGGCGGCAGGCCUAACACAUGCAAGUCGAGCGGAUGACGGGAGCUUGCUCCUUGAUUCAGCGGCGGAUGGGUGAGUAAUGCCUAGGAAUCUGCCUGGUAGUGGGGGACAACGUUCCGAAAGGAACGCUAAUACCGCAUACGUCCUACGGGAGAAAGCAGGGGACCUUAGGGCCUUGCGCUAUCAGAUGAGCCUAGGUCGGAUUAGCUUGUUGGUGAGGUAAUGGCUCACCAAGGCGACGAUCCGUAACUGGUCUGAGAGGAUGAUCAGUAACACUGGAACUGAGACACGGUCCAGACUCCUACGGGAGGCAGCAGUGGGGAAUAUUGGACAAUGGGCGAAAGCCUGAUCCAGCCAUGCCGCGUGUGUGAAGAAGGUCUUCGGAUUGUAAAGCACUUUAAGUUGGGAGGAAGGGUUGUAGAUUAAUACUCUGCAAUUUUGACGUUACCGACAGAAUAAGCACCGGCUAACUCUGUGCCAGCCGCCGCCGUAA